UACGUAGGGUGCAAGCGUUAAUCGGAAUUACUGGGCGUAAAGCGUGCGCAGGCGGUUGUGCAGGACCGAUGUGAAAUCCCCAGGCUUAACCUGGGAACUGCGUCGGAUACUGGAUGGCUUGAAUCCGGGAGAGGGAUGCAGAAUUCCAGGUGUAGCGGUGAAAUGCGUAGAUAUCUGGAGGAAUACCGGUGGCGAAGGCGGCAUCCUGGACCGGCAUUGACGCUGAAGCG
rnacentral:rRNA from 1 species